GUCCGCACGGUAAACGAUGGAUGCCCGCCCUUGGCGAUAUACGGUCAGGGGCCAAGCGAAAGCAUUAAGCAUCCCACCUGGGGAGUACGCCGGCAACGGUGAAACUCAAAGGAAUUGACGGGGGCCCGCACAAGCGGAGGAACAUGUGGUUUAAUUCGAUGAUACGCGAGGAACCUUACCCGGGCUUGAAUUGCAACGGACGGACAUGGAAACAUGUCUUCCCUCCGGGGCCGUUGUGAAGGUGCUGCAUGGUUGUCGU
rnacentral:rRNA from 1 species